AGUGAACGCUGGCGGUAGGCCUAACACAUGCAAGUCGAACGGCAGCACAGUAAGAGCUUGCUCUUACGGGUGGCGAGUGGCGGACGGGUGAGGAAUACAUCGGAAUCUACUUUUUCGUGGGGGAUAACGUAGGGAAACUUACGCUAAUACCGCAUACGACCUACGGGUGAAAGCAGGGGAUCUUCGGGCCUUGCGCGAUUGAAUGAGCCGAUGUCGGAUUAGCUAGUUGGCGGGGUAAAGGCCCACCAAGGCGACGAUCCGUAGCUGGUCUGAGAGGAUGAUCAGCCACACUGGAACUGAGACACGGUCCAGACUCCUACGGGAGGCAGCAGUGGGGAAUAUUGGACAAAGGGCGCAAGCCUGAUCCAGCCAUACCGCGUGGGUGAAGAAGGCCUUCGGGUUGUAAAGCCCUUUUGUUGGGAAAGAAAAGCAGCAGGUUAAUACCCCGCUGUUCUGACGGUACCCAAAGAAUAAGCACCGGCUAACUUCGUG
rnacentral:rRNA from 1 species